rnacentral:lncRNA from 1 species
AUCAACACCUGCAAAAACAGAGCAGACACGCAAAAAGUAGCAACAAAUAAUAGAAAAAUAGAAAUAGAUGAGAUAUAAAAGCAAAAAAUACGAUCUUUGUAUAAACAACAACAACAACUGAAAUAAAAAAACAAAAAAGGUUGACUCCAUUUUCUUUCUCUGUUCUUACGUUGCUAUUUUAUUUUAUUCUAUUUUAUUUUAUUUUAUUUUUUGUUUGUUUGAUUUCUUCUUUAUAACAAAACGAAAAAGAAAAGAAAGGGGAUACUCACCGGUCUCGAAAGCCCGUCGCCGGAGACCACCUUCGGCGUUGGAAUCGGACUAAAAGGGAGUACGAAAAACCCCUCCUUUUCCGACUUUUCGGGACUAAAAGGGUAUAUUUUUUAGAAGGGUCGAGAUCGGGGUUCUAAAAACCCGACUUUUGGGUACCCCGGCCACCGCCCGCGACGGCCGACGGCGAUCCCCACGCCGGAAUCUGGGUAAUGCCCAGUGAAGCAAGAGAGAAAACAAAGUUUUUAACUCCUUUUUUUUGAAACAAAACUGCUGAAAUGAAAAAAAAUAAUAUUUUUUGGGCUUUUAUAGUGUUGGCAAAACGGCAGCGUUUUGG